AUUGAACGCUGGCGGCAGGCCUAACACAUGCAAGUCGAACGAGUGGCGGACGGGUGAGUAAUGUCUGGGAAACUGCCCGAUGGAUGGGGAUAACUACUUGAAACGGUAGCUAAUACCGCAUACCAUCGGAUGUGCCCAGAUGGGAUUAGCUAGUAGGUGGGGUAACGGCUCACCUAGGCGACGAUCCCUAGCUGGUCUGAGAGGAUGACCAGCGACACUGGAACGGAGACACGGUCCAGACGCCUACGGGAGGCAGCAGUGGGGAAUAGUGCACAAUGGGCGAAAGCCUGAUGCAGCCAUGCCGAGUGUAUGAAGAAGGCCUUCGGGUUGUAAAGUACUUGCAGCGAGGAGGCGUUACUCGCAGAAGAAGCACCGGCUAACUCCGUGCCAGCAGCCGCGGUAAUUC
rnacentral:rRNA from 1 species